CAGCCUUGAUGAGGUUCUGUUUGUUGUCACAGCCCCCCCCUCUGCUAGGCGUGCUUUUUCCACCGGCGGUCUCCCCCUCUUCUGCAUUGCUUACGCCCUGCUCCUGUAGUCCGUGACAGCUUCGAAAAGGUACAGUUGCUAUGGCAAUGCCUAGAGCCAUCUGAAUUCCUGCUACACCUUCUGGAAGAAAAGGGCCUGUGAGGAGCCCUGCAGUAGAUUCCAAACCUCGCCUUCCCUGGCCUCCUCUGUCAGAGGUCAGGUGACUGCUCGGGUGGCACGUGGGAGGUACAUAGCCCAGCAUCCUUCGGCACCUUCUCCAUCACCACAUGUCGCGUGCCCCUGGACAGGUUCUCCAUGGGUGGAUCAGAAAACCAAGGGAGUUUCCUACCAGGGGCUCUUAGGUAUAAGACAAUGCCAGUGGGUCUCAAACCUGGAAUCAGAAUCCCCUGGGGUGCUUGUUAAAACACGGAUCGCUGGGUCCCACCCCCCAGCGUGUCUGACGCGGUAGCUCUGGGGCGGAGCUGGAGAGCUUGAGGUGUGGUUCUAACCGGCUCCUGGGUGGUGGGGGGCUGCUGUCCAAAGACCACACUGUGAGGCCCACUGCCUGCGCUUUGAUGAGGAGGAGCAAGACACCCACAGCGGUCCAAAAAGCCAUGGCCGGUCAGAUGCAGAAAAGCCAGCAUCAGUUAUCUAGUCUAGAGGAAGAAGGGGGAGGCUUGGGGGUAGGGAGGGCUCUGCAGUCGAAUUUCCUGGCCAGGAUCACGGGGAGAGGGGCCUUAGUGAUCCUAGACUGUUUCUGUUUGGUCCCCACUGAUCAAUAAACAAAGAUCUUCCUCCAGACAUGAGGAUGGGGGCAGCAUCAGAGAUGCCUUCCCGGAACGCAGAAGCCAUACUCCGCCGCUCAGGGGCCAGGGCCCAGCCAGGCCGCUGGCCCGAAGCUCCCGCCCCCACGGGUGUUAUUCCAGGAAAGAAAAGGACGUGGAGAGAACGUGGUGGGUGUUGGAGGCCUCUCAGGUACAAGCAGCAGAUGCCAAGGAUUCUGACGCUUUCCCUGCACCCUUAACCCGCUUGGAAACCAGGUCCCUAGGUGGCGGGCUUGGUGACUCUCCCUUCCGGGUGUCUGCAAACAGGCAGGGCCUGCUGGCACCGUCUCCCCCGCCGCCUCGCCCACGGGGGACAGCUGGGGUAGGGCCAGGCGUGGAAGAAAUGGCCAUCACGUCGGUUUCCAGGUGCAACUGGUCUCAUUCAGGAAAUGCGGCAUCGCUAAGGGAGACCACGAGGCCCAGGUCACUUCCUCUCUUUCCGUCGCCAUCCUUGCCCAUCGGGCACUCACCUCCUCACUGAGGAGAAAGAAGUCAGUCUGUGUCUUGAGCUCAAAACCUCUAGAAGCCUCCCCACAGCUCCUCAGAAUCCCAGGCCUGAGGUCAGGCCCCUUCCACUCUUCCUCUGAGAGCAGGGCCCCCGGCUCCUCCCUCCUCGGCCAAGCCGGAUGGCCUCCGGGUGGCAGUGGGUGGUGUGGCAUUUCUUCACCUCAUCACCUGCCUGAGGAACCCUGCCUCCGGGGCUCCCCGUCAGGGCUGCUGGGAAGUGUGGGAGCAGCUGUGGGACCAGGCAGGAGGCGGGCACAGGUGUUGCCUAGUGUGGGGCCCCGCAGACAGCCCGAGCUCCCUCUGGACUGGUUUCUCGGAAUGGGAGACGGGCUGGUCAGAGGUGAGGAGGAAGAAGGAAGAGCCCACCCUUGGGACCCUCCGUAGGUUCCCCCUGGUCCCUUGACUCUGGGUCAGUGUUUGCCUACGCUCCUCAUUGCCUCGGGGACCGUCCCAGGCUCAGCCUCUGCUGCCAGCCCAUCCUGGGAGCCCAGAACCUGGCUCUUCCCACCAAGGCUGGGAACAGAGGACGGGACAGACCAGGACAGCGGGACAGAUGGGGGGCAGCAGGCUGACGUGGGGGCUGAAGGACUGGGGAGCGUGGAAGGAGGGGGACCAAGGGAGGCAGAGCCCGCGGUGAGGGGGUACGUCUCACACCGGGAUUCGGGGAACCGGCCUGCGGGCCGAGGCAGGAAAAACCAGGACGGAGAAAGUGGGGGGGCUGGGGGCUCCAGCCCCUGAGCCCCAGUCCUGGCUGUCACAGCUCACUCGCCCCACAGUUCACCCUGGCUAUCCCCACUGGCUUCCCACCCCAUCCGGCUGAGCUGGGCCCGGGGCUGCUGAGCCCCAGGCCUUGGCCCCAAAGGCAGAGGCUUUAUCUCCCAGCCCCUCCCUCCUCUCCACACCCCACCCCGACCCCAGCCGGGUUUAUGGAGCCGAGGGGGCCGAUGGAAGGCAUUCCCCUGGGGGGGUGUCUGGUUCAAGGAGGCGCUUAUCUUCCUGCCUUCAGCCUUCACCGAAGAGUGGAGGGGAGUUAGACUGGGGUCACCGGGAGGCCUCUGGAGCCAAACUUUGCAAACUUGGGGUUUAAUGCAAGGGUGGAGCUGGGAGAGGCCCUGGUUAACGUUUCUGUUUACCGAGGCCGACCGUGACCUGCCCGGGGCCCACCCUCACCCUCACCCUCACCCGCUCCUAACUGGUCCUCCUGCCCCCACUUUAUGAUGGAGCUCGGGUCUUUCUCCCCUGCGUGUUCUCUCCAGGGAGACAGCUCCCUGGACAAGGUCACUCUUCAGAUAUGUUAUACACACAGAGCUGCCCUCACAAAGGCCUCUUGACUCGGCACACCCGGGCACGCCCAAGACAGGAACUCGCUCCAGCAGAGCCCAGAAGGAACUCAGGAGCCCGCCAGCCCCAGGCCCCACGUCUGGAGAGCACUGUCCGCGCUGUGGAGACGUCCGAAUGAAGGAAAAGAGCCUCUGCCUUGAGAAACCAGCCAACAGAGGGGCUUAAAGACAUCUGGGAGGGUGGUGAAGGAAUAUACUAGAACAGAGCCAAUAGGGAGAUAGUUACACCUAAUCGGCUGCAGCCGGUGUGUUAGGUCAUGUCCAGCUUACUGAUGCUGGGCGGCGGGAACCAGCAGGGCUUCGGCAAGAGGGCUUUGCUCCACAAGCAAGGCAGCGAGCAUAUCUGAAGUGCCCACUGUAUGCCAGGUGUGUUCACACAUGGGAUCUUUAGUGUCAGCGCCCAACAGAACUGUGAUGUUAAGUCCAUCAGUUCAGAGAAGCAGGGCUCCGAGAGGUCAAGAAACUUGCUUGAGGUCACACAGCUGGGAAGGGACAAGCCCAUCCGUCUGCGGGGCUGUGAGGCAACUCCGCCUCCCACUAUCUCUGACUGCCGAGAUGGCAGGAGUUUAGCAAAGUUUCAAGGAAGAGGAACAGGGAGAUGGCUCGGAAGGUGAAGCGGAGUUUUGAGUUAGUUGUCUUAAGAGAUUUGCUGGGUUUUUUUUUUUUUUUAAAUCUAAACCAAGAUCGUGGCUUUGCCACCGCCCCCUCUGGGCCCACCCUUCUAUUGCUCCCUGCUCAGUGCAAAGCUGACCUAUACCUUUGAGGAUGUAACAGGCAGUUCCUUUUGUUUUCCCCCAAACAUAGGCUCUGUGAGACCAAAUCCUGCAGGAAAAGAAGGUAGAGACGACAGCACACACACCGUUCUGGUCACUUUGGCGACUUUCCCUAAAAGGUCUGGCACCGUCCUCCCGUGUCCACAGAUGAGACAACUGGAACAAGAGAAGCGUCUCUCCAGGGACGCAGGGGUGGCAAGUGGCAGGGACUAGAAUCCAGGCAGGCUGUCUGCCGGCCCCUCCUAACCCCCACGUUCCGCCUCCGAGGCUGGCAGACACCGAGCCAGAGUUCGGUGCCUUGCGCUUUGCAUGUGUUAUCUCAGGCCACAGGGAAGGAAGAGGCGGAGUCCCGGCCUCCGGUUCAGCCCAGUGGCCUUUCACGAGGCCCACUCUGCUCUUUGGACGCCUGGCUUCCGUGAACCAGCAUUGUCUGGGGCUCCUCCGUUUCCACCCUAACUUUGCAGGACAAGAUUGGGCGGUCCCCCACCCACCUGUCACGUUCCGUCCUCACCAGCCUCCCACUGGGGGACUUAGAAGCGGCUCCAGCCACAGCCUCGGGAGACAGAAACAUGACGUGUGGGGGCAUCGACAGGAACUUACUUGUUAGCCCACAGAGACACUGUGAUGCUGCCGCUGCUCUUCAAAGUUAGGGCAAGUUGGAAAGCUUCAGAGUGUGAACAAAGCAUCCUGCUGACCCAGGAAGCUGAUGUCAAGGAAAUAAAACAGUCCAGGGCCACCCAGGGCAGUGAUGGAGAAGCUCUUAGGAGGAUGUGCUGGUCCUUCCAGGCUCCCUUCCAUUAAUGUGCAUCAGGGAGCUGGCCCCGCUGCCUAGGACGAUCCUGAGGGUUUAGGGCAGCCUGUCGGAGGACGCUCCUCCGUGAGAAGGUACCCAUCAUUCCACGCUGCCCUUUCUAUCCUGACCUUAGGCUAAAUGAGCAGCCACCUCCCACCCCCUGCUAAGCCGUGUCGCAAAGCAUCCUCAUUAACUGACAACGAUGCCUCCUUUUGCUUCUGUCUGGUCACCAGGCUUUCCCAGCCACAGCACAGAAGGGCCCCUCUGCCCACGAGACCCACCUUUCCAGAGGAAGGUCUGCCUGGAGCCACGUCAUCCAGGGACUGACCUGAACUAACUUGGCCAAACAGAGAGGAUCCCGCUUUUCUUGACUUCUUUCCAAAAUCUCAGAGUUCUCGGGAUCCUCAGGGGCUCUGCAGCGCCAGGACGGAGGUUUGAUCCCCGGCCUGGCACAGUGGGUUCAAGGAUCUGGCGUUGCCUCGGGUGUGGCGUAGAUCACAACUGCAGCUCGGAUCUGAUCCCUGGCCCGAGAAAUCCAUAUGCAGCAGG
ensembl:lncRNA